CCAGAUGGAUAUUUCUUCCAACAGAGCAAAACCAAGAAGUGUAUUGGUGAUCGUCACACAGAGAUUGCUGGUGCUGAGGAAGACAAUCAAAAGGGAAUUAGAAGGAAAGGGAAAAGGUUGUGCAAGCAGAGGAAACAACAACGAACACAGAAUAGUCAUCAACCAUCAUAUUCUUCUGGACAGGCUGUGGAAUUGGAUAUUGGCAGGUCUGUUUCAGUGGUGGGUUGCCCCUGGUUUGGACCAGUUCUAUAGAACCGGUAGUAGAACUGGCGGGAGGCUCCACCCACUGACCCUGACGUCAUCAGGAAGCUUCUAUGCAUGCACAGCCCCAUUGCGAACCAAUAGCAAAGGGUGAACUAAAGAAUUCAUCUGUCCAUUGGAAUUGGCUCUACACUAUUGAUCAGGCCAGGAAAAGAAGCUGGUUGUCCCCCAUAAUGUGGAGGGCAGAGCAAAUACAAAAGUGUGUCCAAUCUGAGGUCCAGUUGGUGGAGUCUGGAGGGGCUGUGAGGAGACCUGGAGGGUCCCUCCGUCUCUCCUGCCAAGCCUUUGGAUUCACCUUCAGUAGCUUCUGGAUGCACUGGGUGAGACAGGCUCCUGGAAAAGGUCUGGAAUGGGUGGCAAGGAUACACUAUGUUGCUGCAGAUGUUCAGUACGCAGACAAAGUGAAGGGACGCUUCAACAUCUCCAGAGACAAUGCCAAAAGCCAGCUGUAUCUGCAAAUGAACAAUCUGAAAGUGGAGGACACAGCAGUCUAUUAUUGUGUAGGAGAGUCACAGUGA